CCUACGGGCGGCAGCAGUGAGGAAUAUUGGUCAAUGGGCGGGAGCCUGAACCAGCCAAGCCGCGUGAGGGAAGAAGGUACAGCGUAUCGUAAACCUCUUUUGUCAGGGAACAAAGGCGGGGACUAGUCCCCGGAUGAGGGUACCUGAAGAAAAAGCAUCGGCUAACUACGUGCCAGCAGCCGCGGUAAUACGUAGGGGGCAUGCGUUAUCCGGAUUUACUGGGUGUAAAGGGAGCGUAGACGGCUGUGCAAGUCUGAAGUGAAAGCCCGUGGCUCAACCGCGGAACUGCUUUGGAAACUGUAUAGCUGGAGUACUGGAGAGGCAGGCGGAAUUCCUAGUGUAGCGGUGAAAUGCGUAGAUAUUAGGAGGAACACCAGUGGCGAAGGCGGCCUGCUGGACAGAAACUGACGUUGAGGCUCGAAAGCGUGGGGAGCAAACAGGAUUAGAUACCCCUGUAGUC
rnacentral:rRNA from 1 species